UACGUAGGGAGCGAGCGUUGUCCGGAUUUACUGGGUGUAAAGGGUGCGUAGGCGGUUUUGCAAGUCAGAAGUGAAAUCCAUGGGCUUAACCCAUGAACUGCUUUGGAAACUGUGCAGCUGGAGUGCAGGAGAGGUAAGUGGAAUUCCUAGUGUAGCGGUGAAAUGCGUAGAUAUAAGGAAGAACACCAGUGGCGAAGGCGGAUGACUGGACGGCAACUGACGGUGAGGCGCGAAAGCGUGGGGAGCAA
rnacentral:rRNA from 1 species